GAGGCUUGUCUCCUGGUUGGGUCCCAGUUGUUGCUAAGCAGCUGGGAACCCGUGCCUUCUGAUUGCAAGAUCCAGCAGUCCCUCAGGUUACUAGACAACGGGGACGCCGGACAAAGAUGCGGCUGCAGUUGCCAGGCGACCAGAGACUGCUGGGGCUGCUAUACACUGAGUUAUGUCUGAAUCACCUCUUGCACAGAUGAAGUUACCACUUUACCAUCUACCACUUCUUCAACUAUUGUCUUUACUUUCUGGAUUGUUACUGUGGAACUUGAAGUUUCUUCUUUGCUGACAAUCUUUACAUCUACAAAAGAGAAGAAUAAAAAGAAUAAAAAAUAAGAGUCACAACUACAAGAGGCACUAUAAUUGGCAAAUUCAGACAGUCGCUUAGAGUGCCAAUUUGGCAGCAGCACUGAGACUGACACCCCUUCUCUGCCUGGAGGUUGUUGCACAUAGGGCCUUAGUCAAGUCAACCAGAGGUGCAGAAUCCAGCUCCACAUGAACAUUUCCUCCUACAUCUCUCUGGUGAAGAGCAAGUUCCUGAAACAAGAAAGAAGGUGUUGAUACAUCACAAAGAGUGCUAUAAACGGAAAUAGACAAUAAAUUGUUAUAUGACUCAA